rnacentral:rRNA from 1 species
GAGGGGGCAAGCGUUAUUCGGAAUUAUUGGGCGUAAAGGGCGCGUAGGCGGCUUUGCAAGUGACGGGUGAAAUCCCUCGGCUUAACCGAGGAACUGCCUGUCAAACUGCAUGGCUUGAGACCAGGAGAGGUGAGUGGAAUUCCCAGUGUAGCGGUGAAAUGCGUAGAUAUUGGGAGGAACACCAGUGGCGAAGGCGGCUCACUGGACUGGUACUGACGCUGAUGCGCGAAAGCGUGGGGAGCAAACAGGAUUAGAUACCCUGGUAGUCCACGCCGUAAACGAUGAGUGCUUGGUGUAGCGGGUAUCGACCCCUGCUGUGCCGAAGUCAACACAUUAAGCACUCCGCCUGGGGAGUACGGUCGCAAGACUG